ACGGAAGGCAGCAGUGGGGAAUAUUGCACAAUGGGCGAAAGCCUGAUGCAGCGACGCCGCGUGAGCGAAGAAGUAUUUCGGUAUGUAAAGCUCUAUCAGCAGGGAAGAUAAUGACGGUACCUGACUAAGAAGCACCGGCUAAAUACGUGCCAGCAGCCGCGGUAAUACGUAUGGUGCAAGCGUUAUCCGGAUUUACUGGGUGUAAAGGGAGCGUAGGCGGAAUUUUAAGUCUGAUGUGAAAGCCCAGGGCUCAACCCUGGUACUGCAUUGGAAACUGGAGUUCUAGAGUGUCGGAGGGGUAAGUGGAAUUCCUAGUGUAGCGGUGAAAUGCGUAGAUAUUAGGAGGAACACCAGUGGCGAAGGCGGCUUACUGGACGAUUACUGACGCUGAGGCUCGAAAGCGUGGGGAGCAAACAGGAUUAGAUACCCUGGUA
rnacentral:rRNA from 1 species